GUCAUUAUGACAGAUACUUCACUUGGGAAUAAUAUUAAUACCCAAUUUAAAGUAUGAAUUGUAAAUGGAUAUUUUCUUUAACAAGCAUUUUGCUAAUGCUUUUAUAUGACGAGGUCAAUGCAGGAAGCCUCAGAGGCAGGGUGGCAGGCCCACAUAUCCCUCAUCCGUGCUCAAUGGUUCUAUGUCCGGACUGUCGCGCGGGGAACGUUCACAGCCCCGACCCCUUGGGCUGCUGUCCGUCAUGUUUGCUCGCCGUUCGUAACCCCGCUGAUGCGAAGUUCUUAGGAUAGGACAGAAGAAAACAUUUUGUAUCGAUAAGACAGAUGGACUUUUAAUAUGUGUGUGAAGAAAAUAUUGACUUAAUCAAAUUGAUAGGAGCCACUUAUUUUUUAAAAAAAAUGAAAAGAAUAGUGUUUGAGGUUCUUUUUUACUGUUCUUUUAUCUGUGAACUUGUUCACUACCAAAGGUCAAUUAUGUUGUAAGGAUAUUAAAAGAUAACAAGUGGAAAUUCAUUUAAUUCGUACAAACUUAUAGCAGUAAAUGUGGUUCAAGUUUAGGGAAGGCUACGUCAGGAGACAAUGGUCAAACGGCGUGUUGUUAUGUGUUGAGUGUGUCCUCAGCGGCUGUGCAUUGAAACAACCCUUUAUCAUCUAACGUCACUAAUAUCUAGCGACGUAAUAUCUUGUGUUGAGUUAAACAUAUGUGACGUCACUACUAUCUGGUGACGUGGUGUGGUGAGUUCAGUUUGUUCCCUGUGCUUUGAAAAAAUCUUGAUAUCUAAUGUCACCAUUAUCUUUCGACGUGGUGUUUGAUCCGUUUGCCUUUUGUGUAUAAAAUCAUCUUUUUCAGAAUUAAAGGUAUUUGGAGCUCAUGCUCUGGUAUAUGUCUAUAGCUGUGAAUUUAAUAUGAUCUGCAUGCUCAGACAUUUAUAUACUACACCAAUAGCCACAUAUAUUCGUUCGCUAUCAUAAACUCAGUAUAGAAA